GACGAACGCUGGCGGCGUGCUUAACACAUGCAAGUCGAGGGGCAGUCAGGUGUAGCAAUACAUGCUGGCGACCGGCGCACGGGUGCGUAACACGUAUGAAACCUACCCAUAACAUGGGGAUAGCCCGAAGAAAUUCGGAUUAAUACCCAAUAGUACUAUUUGAGGGCAUCUGAAGAUAGUUAAAGAUUUAUCGGUUAUGGAAGGUCAUGC
rnacentral:rRNA from 1 species